rnacentral:ncRNA from 1 species
UUGGUUGAUCCUUCUAGUAGUCAUAUGGUUGUCUCAAAGAUUAAGCUGUGCUUAUGUAAGUAUAAACAAAUUCAUACUGUGCAACUACGAAUGGCUCAUUCAAUCAGUUAUACUUUGUUUGAUGGUAUCUACUACUCGGAUAACCAUAGUAAUUCUAGAGCUAAUAUGUGCAAAAACCACGAUAUGUGGAAGGGAUACAUUUAUUAGAUAAAAGGUCGACGCGGGAUCAGCCCAUUAUCGCGAUGAUUCAUGAUAACUCGACGGAUCACAGACCAUCAUGACGGUGACGCAUCAUUUUAAUUUCUGCUCGAUCAACUUUCGAUGGUAGGAUAGUGGCCUACGAUGGUAGUGACAGGUGAUGGAGAAUUAGGGUUCGAUUCCUGAGAGGGAGCCUGAGAAAUGACUACCACAUCCAAGGAAGGCCGUAGGUGCGCAAAUUACACAAUUCUGACACGGGGAGGUAGUGACAAUAAAUAACAGUAUUGGGCUCUACUAGUUUGGUAAUUGGAAUGAGUACAAUCUAAAUCCCUUAACGAGGAUCCAUUGGAGGGCAAGUCAAGUGCUAGGAGUCGCGGUAAUUCGUGCUCCAAUAGCGUAUAUUUAAGUUGUUGUAGUUAAAAAGCUCGUAGUUGGACUUUGGGAUGGGUCGGUUGGUUCAUCCUAGGUGUGCACCGGUCGUCUCAUCCCUUCUGUAGGCGAUGCGCUCCUGGCCUUAAUUGGCUGGGUUAUGCCUCCGGCGCUUUUGCUGUGAACAAAUUAGAAGGCUCAAAGCAAUCAUACGCUCUGUAUACAAAUUCGAUAGAUGCAGUGGGCAUGGGGCCUUCACCGAAUCCUAUCUA